UAAGACGUAGGGGGCCAGCGUUGCUCGGAAUUACUGGGCGUAAAGGGUUCGUAGGCGGUGCGGCAAGUCGGAAGUGAAAUCUCCAGGCUCAACUUGGAGGCUGCUCCCGAAACUGCCGCGCUAGAGUGCGGGAGAGGCCAGUGGAAUUGCAGGUGUAGCGGUGAAAUGCGUAGAUAUCUGCAGGAACACCCGUGGCGAAGGCGGCUGGCUGGACCGCAACUGACGCUGAGGAACGAAAGCUAGGGGAGCAAACAGGAUUAGAUACCCUGGUAGUCCUAGCCCUAAACGAUCAGGACUUGGGGUGCAUCCCGACGGGGUGCGUCCCGUAGCUAACGCGUUAAGUCCUGCGCCUGGGGAGUACGGUCGCAAGACUG
rnacentral:rRNA from 1 species